UCUAUGCUUGCUUAGUCGAUUCUUUGGUCUC
rnacentral:piRNA from 1 species